rnacentral:rRNA from 1 species
UUGGCCUACGGGGCGCAGCAGUGGGGAAUAUUGCACAAUGGGGGAAACCCUGAUGCAGCGACGCCGCGUGAGUGAAGAAGUAUUUCGGUACGUAAAGCUCUAUCAGCAGGGAAGAAAGAAAGUCCUUUGGACUUUGGACGGUACCUGACCAAGAAGCCCCGGCUAACUACGUGCCAGCAGCCGCGGUAAUACGUAGGGGGCAAGCGUUAUCCGGAUUUACUGGGUGUAAAGGGAGCGUAGGUGGCAGGGCAAGUCAGAUGUGAAAACCCGGGGCUCAACUCCGGGAGUGCAUUUGAAACUGUCCA